AAACAUUAAUUGAAACCAUUCAAACUUAAUUUCGACUUAAGAUUAGAUUAACAAAUAUCAAUGUUUA
rnacentral:tRNA from 1 species